rnacentral:rRNA from 1 species
AGAGUUUGAUCAUGGCUCAGAUUGAACGCUGGCGGCAUGCCUUACACAUGCAAGUCGAACGGCAGCAUGAUCUAGCUUGCUAGAUUGAUGGCGAGUGGCGAACGGGUGAGUAAUACAUCGGAACGUGCCCUGUAGUGGGGGAUAACUAGUCGAAAGAUUAGCUAAUACCGCAUACGACCUGAGGGUGAAAGUGGGGGACCGCAAGGCCUCAUGCUAUAGGAGCGGCCGAUGUCUGAUUAGCUAGUUGGUGAGGUAAAGGCUCACCAAGGCGACGAUCAGUAGCUGGUCUGAGAGGACGAUCAGCCACACUGGGACUGAGACACGGCCCAGACUCCUACGGGAGGCAGCAGUGGGGAAUUUUGGACGAUGGGCGAAAGCCUGAUCCAGCAAUGCCGCGUGUGUGAAGAAGGCCUUCGGGUUGUAAAGCACUUUUGUCCGGAAAGAAAUGGCUCUGGUUAAUACCUGGGGUCGAUGACGGUACCGGAAGAAUAAGGACCGGCUAACUACGUGCCAGCAGCCGCGGUAAUACGUAGGGUCCAAGCGUUAAUCGGAAUUACUGGGCGUAAAGCGUGCGCAGGCGGUUGUGCAAGACCGAUGUGAAAUCCCCGAGCUUAACUUGGGAAUUGCAUUGGUGACUGCACGGCUAGAGUGUGUCAGAGGGGGGUAGAAUUCCACGUGUAGCAGUGAAAUGCGUAGAGAUGUGGAGGAAUACCGAUGGCGAAGGCAGCCCCCUGGGAUAACACUGACGCUCAUGCACGAAAGC